GUUUGGAUUUCUGGACUCAUUCUAUUGACUUUAAAUUAUUAUUUUGAAGUUUACGGGAGUUGGAGGGAACGUUAUCUUUUCAUUGUUUGGGGCCUAAUCUGGUCCUCACUUACAUGUUGGCCAUGACACAUUGUGCAUGGAAUUGUGUGUGUGCGUGCAUGCGUGUGUGUGCAUCCAUAUUUGUGUGUAUAUUCAUAUGGACAGUAACUGCCUGUGUAGGGAGUUCUCCAUGCACAUUCUCCAUCAAGUUUCAGUUUAAUUUGAAAAUAUAUGCAGAGCUUUAUCUGAAUCAGGUACCAUUUUAGGUGCCGGAAAGAGAGAGGAGUAAAACCCAGGGGCUGACCUCAGAGAGCUUUCCCCUUAUCUGCCGACUAAACGCUUGGCAGUGGAUCCUCACGGCUCUGUGUGGAGCUGGAUUCUGAGGGCAUGUCCAGGCUCAGCAAGAAGCAGCCACGGUUGAUUAGUGAUGUCUGCCACCGACAUGGAAUGUGGAGCUUGGAGAAAGAGGGUCAUUUUCCUGCCAGAAUCAGAACAUCGUGCCCAAAAUGGCUCUUUGUGAUCCUGGAUUUAAUUUCCUCAUUUUAUAGCUGGGCAAGACAUGGCAGGAAAGAAAAGGGAGUUGUUUCCGAAGGGCUGAGUCUAGAGUGAUGGAAGCAAGGAGCCUAGGGUACACGGUUUAAGGAGGCGCUCGCUCUCAGGUCCGUGCAAAUGCCCCCUCGCUUGGUGAGGUGCCCUGGGUGUCUCAUCUGUCUCACCUUAAUCCUGGCUCUGGCUCAAAGUCACUUUUUCAAAAACCACCACACACUCCACUAGGAGGGAUCACUGCCUCUCUUCAGAAAGUUCAGUGACUCCACUUGUUAACAUUCCUCUGACUGAGAGUAAUAGAAAUCAACUGAAGCUUAAGAAAAAUGAGAAUGAGGUAUCUCAUAGAACCCAAGGGCAGGGAUUCAGGCAGUGUGAAGAAAGUUCUAGAACUGGAAUCCUAGAGAGACUUUUCUCUCUGUUCUUCACACUUGCUUUUAUUCUUCUUUCUGGGCUGAAUGGCUUUCCCUACUCCGCCAGUUACCAAUUCUGUGCAUGUGGGAAAUUUCCUUGCUUUUCUCAUCUAUACGAUAGAAUAAUAUUCCUCACUUCCUUACCUCCUAGGGUUGUAAGGAGUAACGUAUCUACACCAGCCAAGUGUCCGCAGAGACUCACCCCAGACAAGAAGAAAAGAAAAAGCAUGGGGCCCCCCAACAACGGUUCCAGAGUUCUGGUUCAAAGGAGGGUGCUCGGCUUGGAGAGCUCUACCCUGAGGUGGAAAAGGGGGCUUAAGAGCAGCUGUCUGGGACAAACUCUCUGCAGACGUCCUCCUUUGUCAGGCGCUGUAAUCACCGGUUUCCUACAGCAGAGCUCUGCCUGAGAUGAUGGGCUGUGUUUUUCAUUUGAAACGAGUCCACAUCUGGGACUCACUGAACUUGGUUUGGGAAGUCCUGUGUUUCUGAUCCAAAAAACAAAACAAAACAAAAUUUGGUGAAAAUAAGCCUGAUUUUUUUUUUCUUUUGGUGUGGAUUGAUUUUUCUUCUGUUAGAUUUAGCUUUCAAGGAAGAAAAGAGAGGAAGAGAGAGAGAACGAUGAGUACUGAAUUGACUUGGCUUCAUGACUGCCUUCGCUGGUUGGAUGGCGAAGCCUUACAUACGUGGACUGAUUGAAUUAUUCCCCUUGCACCGGGAGGGAGAAGGCAAGGAUGGAAUCUUCUCCUGAUUGCUGUCCGUUUGGGUUUCCUGCCAAGGAAAAAUGGUGCAGGAUGAAGGGCAGGCUUCUAGAAACGACAAAGAAGCAAAAUCUACCAUGUAUUUGCCUGGCCUGAAUUACUAGGGUAAAUACUUGGAACUUUAUUCCACAAUACUGGUAGGCCCUGGAGGAUAUCUGGGUAUAGAAAAUUUGCAAUGACCUCCACCCCUUAAUUUGUCUAUUUACUGGCAUAUGUAGGUGAUGGACCCAAUAGAAAAAAAAUCCAAGCCUAAAAAUCAGAUGUAUGGGGGGAUGUGGGGUGACAUAUAGAGAUGACUAUUUACAUUAUAAAACAUUCCUUUUUUCCCACAGGAAUACACUAUAAUUUUUUUUUUUAAAAAAAGAGCUAAACCAUCU
rnacentral:lncRNA from 1 species